AUGGAGUUCCUCAUGCUCCUGGCCGUCCUCUUGUGCCUCGUAGCCGGAAUGGUCUUCCACACUAGGCGAGCCCAUGCCCAGGCAACCAUCCACCACGUCGCUGACCCCGCUGUUGCUCACCGAGCGCUCAUCGAGAACGCCGACGACCUCCUAAACCGGCCGGCGGCAAUCUUCCCCGUCGCCCUCGCCACCUGGUCCAAUGGCGAGCGGAAUGACAACAUAGCCACCGUGAACCACGGCCCGCAUUGGCGAGUGCUCCGGUGCAACCUCACCGCCGAGGUCCUCUCACGUCUCGGUUCCCUCGCCCCACUGCACGAGGAGGCCGCCCAGGCCCUCGUCGCAGACUUCUCCGCCCGAGUCCUCGGCGGCGGUGAGGUGGCCGUCCGUGAGCCCGUCACCACGGCUGUGUUCGCGCUGGCCGCGCGCCUCUGCUUCGGCGACUUUGUCGACGACCGCCACAAAAGCGCCAUGGGCCGCGUGAUACGGGACUCCAUUGUCCUCGCUGGGGAGCUCAACCCUAGGUUCGAUGGAUCGAUGCUAUCCAAGAUGGCAAACUGCAGGGGGUUUCGCCGGAUCUCCGCCUUACUCGACCGGCAGGUCGAGCUGUACCUCCCUUUGAUCGCGGCACGGAGGCAGGCGCGGUCUCAGCUCUGCGGCGGCAUCAUCCGUCCUUACGUCGACACGCUCCUUGAUCUCCGUGUCCCGGACAGCAAUGGCGCCGGGCGUCCUCUUCGAGACGGCGAGCUGGUGGGCCUCGUGUUCGAGUUCCUUGGCACAGCCACGGGGUCAACCGCAGCCUGUCUCGAGUGGACCCUCGCCCACCUCAUCGACCAGCCGGAGGUCCAGGACAAGCUGCGGCGCGAGAUCAAUGCCGAGGCCGACGGCGGCGGGAUGCUCUCAAUCUCAAGCAAAAGCAUCCGCAGCGGCAUGCCGUAUCUGAAUGCGGUGGUGCUGGAGAGCCUCCGCAUGCACCCGCCGGUGCCGUUCAUCAUGCGCAGCGCCCACGGCGAGGGCGCCACAGCAAUCGGUGGGGCGACCGCUGUGCCGGUGGACGGCCUGAGCGUGCGGUUCGAUUUAGGUGGCAUCGGGAGAGACGGGAAGUCGUGGACCGAUCCCGACAAGUUCCGGCCGGAGCGGUUCCUUGCCGGAGGCGAGGCGGAGGACGUCGGCCCGGCGCCAGGCCCGAAGGAGAUAAGGAUGAUGCCGUUCGGUGCCGGGCACAGGCACUGCCCCGGCGUGAACAUGGGGAUGCUGCACAUCAAGUGCUUCCUGGCCGCGCUCCUGCACGGGUUCGACUGGGCGCCGGCGGGAGACUGCAGCGGCGGGGUCGACAUGACGGAGCUGGACGGCUUCGUGAAGAUAAUGGAGCAGCCGCUUUCCGCGCGUGUCACGCGACGCACUUGA
rnacentral:rRNA from 1 species